rnacentral:rRNA from 1 species
UACGGAGGGGGCAAGCGUUGUUCGGAAUUAUUGGGCGUAAAGAGCUCGUAGGCGGUGUGUCGCGUCGGCCGUGAAAACCUGCAGCUUAACUGUGGGCUUGCGGUCGAUACGGGCAUCACUGGAGUUCGGCAGGGGAGACUGGAAUUCCUGGUGUAGCGGUGAAAUGCGCAGAUAUCAGGAGGAACACCGGUGGCGAAGGCGGGUCUCUGGGCCGAUACUGACGCUGAGGAGCGAAAGCGUGGGGAGCGAACAGG